CUACUAUUCAUGUAAUCACGUUCAGAACCAGAAAGGAAGGAAGAGAGAGAGAAAGAGAAGGAGAAAGAGAAAGAAAGAAGGAAAGAAAGAAAGAAAGGGAGAUCCGUCCAAACCGUCGAUAUUUUAGAGAAACCUCAAGGGCGACGUACCGAGCUAUUGCUCGACGAAGAAACUCGUACGCUUGAUCGCCUAAAUAGUACUUUUGCAGGCGAAAUUAGUUGAGGUCGGGCGUACACUGGAGUUGAGGCAUAGUCAACAGCAUGGCUUCCGCGUUUUUCUCUUUGUUUUAGGUUUUCCUUGACUACCCUUGCUAUUAGAAUUGCUCUGAUCACCUGAGGAAUUAAUGUUAUUUAAGUUGUGAUU